ensembl:snoRNA
UGCCUUUAUGUGUUGCCCUCUCAUUGUUCCCUUAGUGAUUGGGGUGUCAAAUAAGGCAUACAGUGACACCUGUGGCUGUGUGUGUGAAAUGAGCUUCAAGUGGCUCGUCUUCAACAACCAGCUGCAAGGACACAC